AAGAGUUCGGCGCAAGAGGAAAACCUGGAUUAUUAGACGCAUUUUUUAUUAGAAAUCACGCGGUUUGUAUUCAUUCAGAUGGAAACGUUAGUCGAUGCAUACCUACUUUGCUGCUUACUGUUAUACACGGGAGAACAUUGGCGUCUGCUUUUUCAUUAUAUGUAUGUAACAUGACUUCUUGAAAUAAUAAGAAGUGUAAUAUUAUAGACACCUAUAUCAAAUCUAUCGGAAAUCCGAAUAUUUCCCUAACGUUGAUUAUCUCAAUAAUCAAGAUUGAGGAAAUAUAUCACACUGUAUGUGGGAAAUCCUAAUGAAGUUGCAUAUAAGUAUCCAUGACCUGGCAGCCAUCAGUCAUUCACCGUCCGGCGCGAGUGCGGGCCAGCCACCAUGGCUCACGCCGUCAUUUUAGCUAUACUCAUCUGCAUAUGCGUGUGCGCAGAAUGCGCGCCUUUUAAAAACACUAACAAAGUGGACGCCAAAGAAAUAAAUCAAGCAAUGAACAGAGAAAUUAGAGGUUUACUGUCGGAACAACGGAAUGUACACAUAGUAAAGGACCCUUGUAAAAACGCUGAAGAGCCGUGCGAUUACGAUGAAGUGGAAUUCUUCCUCAUCCCGAGCACAGCCCUGCCCAGGAUACCUCUUCGCCACGCAGUGUGAGGAUGACUGAUCAAGUGAAUGCAGGAGCGUCGAGAAGGCUGCUAUUAGCUUAAAGUUAAAGUUCCUACGUGCAUGUGUGAUUAAUUUAGGGUACCUACUUAUUAAGUGAUACUUCUUCAUGUCGAAAUGGAUGGUUUUGGACUAAGGUGUCUAUGAGUAGGUAUCUACUAAUUCCAUGAUUUUCCAUUUUAAGACUGAACAUUCUCAGUGUUUUGACAAAAAACACAAAAGAUUGUGUGAUUUAAAUAAACAAAUGUUUUAUGUUUUA